rnacentral:rRNA from 1 species
CCUACGGGAGGCAGCAGUAGGGAAUCUUUCACAAUGGGCGAAAGCCUGAAGGAGCCAAGCAGCGUGCAGGAUGAAGGCCCUAGGGUUGUUAACUGCUUUUAUAAGCGAGAAAUAUGAUGGUAACUUAUGAAUAAGGAACGGAUCACUACGUGACAGCAGCCGCGGUCAUACGCAGGAUCCGAGCAUAAUCCGGAGUGACUGGGGGUAAAGAGUUGUGUAGGUGGCUUAAUUAGUAGCUAGUGAAAUCUGGAGGGUCCACCAUUCAGACUAUUAGCUAAAAUGGUAAGCUCGAGAGCGUUAGGGGUAAGUGGAAUUUGUAGUGUAGGAGUGAAAUCCGGAGAUAUUAGAAGGAACACCAAUAGCGAAGGCAGGUUGCUGGGACGGUUCUGACACUAAGGCACGAAGGCGUAGGGAGCGAACGGGAUUAGAUACCCCUGUAGUC